rnacentral:rRNA from 1 species
AACGUAGGGGACAAGCGUUAUCCGGAUUUACUGGGCGUAAAGCGCCCGUAGGCGGCCUGACAAGUUGGACGUGAAAGCUCCUGACUUAACUGGGAGAGGCCGUUCAAAAACUGUCAAGCUAGAGUCUGGAAGAGGAGAGCGGAAUUCCCGGUGUAGUGGUGGAAUGCGUAGAGAUCGGGAGGAACACCUGCGGCGAAGGCGGGUUGCUGGGCCGACACUGACGCUGAGGCGCGAAAGCCAGGGGAGCGAACAGG